rnacentral:rRNA from 1 species
UACGGAGGGUGCAAGCGUUAUCCGGAAUCACUGGGUUUAAAGGGUGCGUAGGCGGCGCUAUAAGUCAGAGGUGAAAGGCACCGCUUAACGGUGGGACUGCCUUUGAUACUGUAGUGCUUGAAUCAGGCUGAGGUCGGCGGAAUGUGACAUGUAGCGGUGAAAUGCUUAGAUAUGUCAUAGAACACCAAUUGCGAAGGCAGCUGACUAGACCUUGAUUGACGCUGAGCACGAAAGCGUGGGAGGCGACGGAAUAGAUAAGUACUAG